GAGGGGAAACGAGGCAAGGUGCCAUUUAAGACGCGGUGCCAUUUAAUCCGGUAUAGACUACACAUACACACACGCGCGCGCACACUUAUAGAGAGAGAGGGAAAGAGAGGGGGUGUCCAGACAGGGCUGCCGAACAGCUUUGGAAUUCACAUGAAAAGUUUGAUUUCCUCUAAGCUUCACGUAACCCCAAGAGCCCCUGUGAUUUUAUAUAGCCUGAUAUGACUUCAUAAAAAAAUAAAUUACCAAGUCAAAUAUUAUUGUUCUCCAAUUUACUGCAGUGGACGAGCAAAUAAAUAAAUAAAUACGUUUUUAAAAAGCCAUUUUUUUUGUUUUAUGGCACUGCGGAUACCGGAUGCGCCUCGGAGGUAUCCUUUAACCUCAAAGGCUGCUUCGCUGCAGAGCUGGAGCCCCACCGAGGCUAUUACAACGGGGGCCACUCUCUCUAUUCUCCGAGAGAGGAGUGAGAGUGCUGCUGGUGCUGCUGGUGGAAGAGGAGGAGGAGGAGGGGGGCAUGGUGGCGGAGGAGGGUGGGAGAGGAGGGAGAGCAGAAACGUGUAAUCACCCAAACAACCGUUUUUACCCGUUUCACCCCCUCUGGAUCUGUGUCGCAAGUCCGCCGUGAGCCUGUCUGCCUUUCACUGCGGAUAUCGUGGAGGGAGGCCGGAGCGUGAAGAAGACACCAGAGAGGUAGCGCUUCUGCUAUGCAUGUGGAAAAGUGCAGACACGAUCAGCAUGUGACUUAUCCUAUAAACGCUCUUGAACAAUUGCCUUGCUAAUCACAUUAUGGAUACAGUAAGCUCAACAAAUUGGAGGAGAAAUGCAAAGCCUUGGAAUAGAAGAAAUCAGCUUUAAGUGUGAUAACAGGAAUCUGUAUAAAGAGGUUGGCUUUACUCCCAACUCAUGACAUGAUAACACGGAGCCAGCCGAAGGAGCAAGUGGACUAGGCAUCUGCCCCUACCCUCCACACACACACACACACACACACACACACACACACACACACACACACAAACCAGCAGGGGGACCCAAGAGUGUUCAAACAUCUCAAAAUAGACUGAUUAAAAAAAAAAUCUGCAGUAAUCACACAAAACAAAAUCAAAACAUCUUGAUGAAUCUGUUCAGCUUGCAUCAGAGCUGGUGUCAUGUAACUAUUUACAAGUAGAUUACAACAAAUAUGUCCCCACAAAGUAUUUAUUCAUCUGAGGUUGCAAAGUGAAAGAUAUGAUGAAGCUAUGUUUCCACGACUAAUUACAGCAUUACAUUAAGUGUCAAAUGAGCCCUGAGUUCAGUCAAGGUUUGGUGAGCUAAUGUCAGCUGGCAGGUAGUUAGCUUUAAUUUAAUGUUAAAUAUGAAAAUAGCUACAUUUGCCCCCUUUAAGAUAGAAAUCUCUAUUAGUUUUACAAAGCUACAUAGAUUUAAGUCGUUAACAAUACACAAACUUCCCUGCAUGUUAGCUAGGUUAUGCUGUAUGUAAACCAUAGCAGCCAAGUUUAAUGGCAAAACGUGUAAUAGACACGCCGGUCCACCGUGUCCAUUUCAUGUUUUGAAAAGGCAAAGGAUGCAGAAUGCAGAAGUUGCAUUACUAGCAGGGGGGAAGUAAUAUAUUUAAAGUCAAGAAGUUGAUAGUGAGCAGAAAACAUAUGAAGAACAUUCCAUCAGAAACCAUUAAGCUAGGUGGCUAAAAUGUAUUUACAUGUAAAUGUGUUAAUAAAGUCUUUUUAAAUGUU